GGGGGAUAUUGCGCAAUGGGGGCAACCCUGACGCAGCAACGCCGCGUGAAGGAUGAAGGUUUUCGGAUUGUAAACUUCUUUUAUUAAGGACGAAAAAUGACGGUACUUAAUGAAUAAGCUCCGGCUAACUACGUGCCAGCAGCCGCGGUAAUACGUAGGGAGCAAGCGUUGUCCGGAUUUACUGGGUGUAAAGGGUGCGUAGGCGGCUUUGCAAGUCAGAUGUGAAAUCUAUGGGCUCAACCCAUAAACUGCAUUUGAAACUGUAGAGCUUGAGUGAAGUAGAGGCAGGCGGAAUUCCCCGUGUAGCGGUGAAAUGCGUAGAGAUGGGGAGGAACACCAGUGGCGAAGGCGGCCUGCUGGGCUUUAACUGACGCUGAGGCACGAAAGCGUGGGUAGCAAACAGGAUUAGAUACCCUGGUAGUCCACGCUGUAAACGAUGAUUACUAGGUGUGGGGGGUCUGACCCCUUCCGUGCCGGAGUUAACACAAUAAGUAAUCCACCUGGGGAGUACGGCCGCAAGGUUGAAACUCAAAGGAAUUGACGGGGGCCCGCACAAGCAGUGGAGUAUGUGGUUUAAUUCGAAGCAACGCGAAGAACCUUACCAGGUCUUGACAUCCAACUAACGAAGUAGAGAUACAUUAGGUGCCCUUCGGGGAAAGUUGAGACAGGUGGUGCAUGGUUGUCGUCAGCUCGUGUCGUGAGAUGUUGGGUUAAGUCCCGCAACGAGCGCAACCCUUGCUAUUAGUUGCUACGCAAGAGCACUCUAAUAGGACUGCCGUUGACAAAACGGAGGAAGGUGGGGACGACGUCAAAUCAUCAUGCCCCUUAUGACUUGGGCUACACACGUGCUACAAUGGCGUAAACAAAGGGAAGCAAAGCUGUGAAGCCGAGCAAAUCUCAAAAAUAACGUCUCAGUUCGGACUGUAGUCUGCAACCCGACUACACGAAGCUGGAAUCGCUAGUAAUCGCAGAUCAGAAUGCUGCGGUGAAUACGUUCCCG
rnacentral:rRNA from 1 species